UUCCGGUUGAUCCCGCCGGACCUGACUGCUAUCGGAUUGAUACUAAGCCAUGCGAGUCUUUGUAGUAAUACAAGGCAGACGGCUCAGUAACACGUAGUCAACCUACCCUAUGGACGAGAAUAAUCUCGGGAAACUGAGCAUAAUUCUCGAUAGAUCAUAAUGCCUGGAAUGGUUUAUGGUUAAAAUGAUUCGUCGCCAUAGGAUGGGACUGCGGCCUAUCAGCUUGUUGGUGAGGUAAUGGCCCACCAAGGCGAUUACAGGUACGGGCUCUGAGAGGAGAAGCCCGGAGAUGGGUACUGAGACACGGACCCAGGCCCUAUGGGGCGCAGCAGGCGAGAAAACUUUGCAAUGUGCGAAAGCACGACAAGGUUAAUCCGAGUGAUUUCUGCUAAAGAAAUCUUUUGCCAGUCAUAAAACCACUGGUGAAUAAGGGGUGGGCAAGUUCUGGUGUCAGCCGCCGCGGUAAAACCAGCACCUCAAGUGGUCAGGAUGAUUAUUGGGCCUAAAGCAUCCGUAGCCGGCUUUGUUAGUUUUCGGUUAAAUCCAUGUGCUCAACGCAUGGGCUGCCGAAAAUACUGCAUAGCUAGGGAGUGGGAGAGGUAGACGGUACUCAGUAGGAAGGGGUAAAAUCCUUUGAUCUAUUGAUGACCACCUGUGGCGAAGGCGGUCUACCAGAACACGUUCGACGGUGAGGGAUGAAAGCUGGGGGAGCAAACCGGAUUAGAUACCCGGGUAGUCCCAGCUGUAAACGAUGCAGACUCGAUGAUGCAUUGGCAUAAUAGCCAAUGCAGUGUCGCAGGGAAGCCGUUAAGUCUGCCGCCUGGGAAGUACGUACGCAAGUAUGAAACUUAAAGGAAUUGGCGGGGGAGCACCACAAGGGGUGAAGCCUGCGGUUCAAUUGGAGUCAACGCCGG
rnacentral:rRNA from 1 species